AAAACUAUUUCAUAUAUUUUCGAAUAAGGCCGUAACGUAACAAAAUGUGGGGAAAAGUCAAGGGGUCUGAACACUUUCCAAAUGCUCUGUAUAUAUUUAUAGAAACAAUGUGAACAAAUGCUCUGAAUAUAAGGAACGUAACAAUACAUUAUGUAGAUGUAUAUAAUGAACAGACUAGGUCUAUACUGCUCCUACAUGGUGUAACAAUACAUCAUGUAUAUAAUGAACAGACUAGGUCUAUACUGCUCCUACAUGGUGUAACAAUACAUCAUGUAUAUAAUGAACAGACUAGGUCUAUACUGCUCCUACAUGGUGUAACAAUACAUCAUGUAUAUAAUGAACAGACUAGGUCUAUACUGCUCCUACAUGGUGUAACAAUACAUCAUGUAGAUGUAUAUAAUGAACAGACUAGGUCUAUACUGCUCCUACAUGGUGUAACAAUACAUCAUGUAGAUGUAUAUAAUGAACAGACUAGGUCUAUACUGCUCCUACAUGGUGUAACAUCAUGUAGAUGUAUAUAAUGAACAGACUAGGUCUAUACUGCUCCUACAUGGUGUAACAUCAUGUAGAUGUAUAUAAUGAACAGACUAGGUCUAUACUGCUCCUACAUGGUGUAACAAUACAUCAUGUAGAUAUAUAUAAUGAACAGACUAGGUCUAUACUGCUCCUACAUGGUGUAACAAUACAUCAUGUAGAUGUAUAUAAUGAACAGACUAGGUCUAUACUGCUCCUACAUGGUGUAACAUCAUGUAGAUGUAUAUAAUGAACAGACUAGGUCUAUACUGCUCCUACAUGGUGUAACAAUACAUCAUGUAGAUGUAUAUAAUGAACAGACUAGGUCUAUACUGCUCCUACAUGGUGUAACAAUACAUCAUGUAUAUAAUGAACAGACUAGGUCUAUACUGCUCCUACAUGGUGUAACAAUACAUCAUGUAUAUAAUGAACAGACUAGGUCUAUACUGCUCCUACAUGGUGUAACAAUACAUCAUGUA